UGUUCUCUGAUUUUUCACAAAACAAUUUGAAGAAUGAUUUCAAAAUACUUCUUUGAUCUUCCACUAUCUGUUGAGGGACAGAACAACGAAGAUAAUGCGCUAAAGCGUUCUCACUAAAAGAUUAUCGCAUCUCAAUUGAAGAACAUUGAAGAUCCUCAUAAUUGCAUCAUACAAAAGUUACCCUCUUUUUAAAUCUUUUCUCAGCACGAGGAAAUGACUGUGUUAUAGAAUAUUGAACAGCUAAGUGAUUCCUUGAAUCUACCGAAGCAGAAAAGUGCAAAACUUCUUAUUCAGGAAAAUGACGAUAAUUAAAUUUGAAUUGUGGCCAGAAGUAAACUCGAUCUAUAAUAGUGAACCAUGAAGAAUUAUUUUACAAACAUAUCGUAUAUGAUUGAAUGCAUUUAGCUUUAUGGAAUUAAUAGAUACUACAGAAUGAUGAAGAGUGGUUUUGCUGAAAUUUAUUUCAUUUUGUACUAUUGUUAUAAACGAUGAAGAGUUUUUGUACAAGACAUGUUUCUCAAAGUUUAUUCGAAUUAUAUAGCUUUGA